GACGGAGGGCGCAAGCGUUGUUCGGAAUCACUGGGCGUAAAGCGCGCGCAGGCGGGUGAGGAAGUCGGAGGUGAAAUCCCGGGGCUCAACCCCGUGGACCGCCCCCGAAACUCCUCGUCUGGGGACCGGUAGAGGCUGGCGGAAUUCCCGGUGUAGCGGUGGAAUGCGUAGAUAUCGGGAAGAACACCCGUGGCGAAGGCGGCCAGCUGGGCCGGAUCCGACGCUGAGGCGCGAAAGCGUGGGGAGCAAACAGG
rnacentral:misc_RNA from 1 species